CGAUGAAAUCCGAAAAAAAAGGGGGAAAAAGGGUUUAAGAAGGAGAACAUACACCAAACACACAGAGUACACUGCACUAUCCCGUAAUCAAUAACACCAGUGGAGAAUGAUAGCGCCACACACAUCUGUUCAUCUGUUCACAACACAAUCGUCCACAAGGAGCAGCGAGCGGUGUGCGAUACGCGAACGAUUGCCAGAGUUCGUGCGAGGAUGCUUCAGAAGGCUGAUUGUUGUGCGCCGCGAAUUCCGAAUUUUCCCUGUAUGACAGCAGCAUGACAAUGGUAUCCUUCUUCACAUGGAAACCGCAUCCAAUUCCAGCACACACGCACACGUAUACGAGAAUGUGUGUAAUCGGCAAAGGUUACUGGGACUAGCGGUGCGCACGGAAGUCAGGAGUGUAACCAGCAGCGAGGAAGGAUACAUAGCAGCCCAAGGGAAACCCCUGACGACCUGAAGUCGACCCGACCCGGAUGUCAGAGUGUGCGUGCGUUUACACGGGGAAAAACAUUAAAAUAAACAACCCGUUCACAAUAGGAAAAAA